GGGGGGGUGACUCCAAAGCCGAUAGAUCUGCCACAUUGCUCAAGCUGCCAUUGAUUCUGGUAAGUUAUUUUUUUUUUCAUCUUCCUGCACUAACAGAUAUUGAAUUAUGCAUAAAUACUCAUGGAUUAAUUUUUUUUAAUUUUUACUUCUAUUUGAAAUUUUCAAGAUAUCAAUUUCCUCAAUGCACAAUUUUCUAGAUUAAAAUACUGUUACAACAUAUUUAGGGAAUAUAAUGAAAUUUUAAUAUAUGUGUUUUGUGUUUGCAGACAAGACAAUAGAUUGAGAAAUACAAAAGUUGUGUCCAGAUUAAGACAGAUGUAAAGAAAGAGUUGAAAGAUGUUUUCUGAAGUGAGACAGCCAUACUCCUGCUUUCCAAGGAACCAAACAAUUACUUUCCUUGUAUUGACAUGGUGAAAAAUGGGGAGGGUCCAGAAAAUGACGAAGACCUCCAGAAUGUCAUCAGUGAUAUUGUUGCAAUUGAAUGUAGCCAAUUAUUAUCCAAUAUAAAUUAUCUAUGACUGAACUCAUAAGUGGUUAAGGAAAACUGUUUUAAUUUUUAUUCUUGCAAAAAAGAAUUGCAAUGAUUAAAUCUGUAUGUUUAUAA